AUUGAACGCUGGCGGCAGGCCUAACACAUGCAAGUCGAGCGAGCGGCGGACGGGUGAGUAAUGCCUAGGAAUCUGCCUGGUAGUGGGGGAUAACUACUGGAAACGGUAGCUAAUACCGCAUACCAUCAGAUGUGCCCAGAUGGGAUUAGCUAGUAGGUGGGGUAAUGGCUCACCUAGGCGACGAUCCCUAGCUGGUCUGAGAGGAUGACCAGCCACACUGGAACUGAGACACGGUCCAGACUCCUACGGUGGGCAGCAGUGGGGAAAAUUGCACAAUGGGCGCAAGCCUGAUGCAGCCAUGCCGCGUGUAUGAAGAAGGCCUUCGGUUUGUAAAGCACUUUUAUUUGGGAGGCGUUACCAACAGAAUAAGCACCGGCUAACUUCGUGCCAGCAGCCGCGGUAAUAC
rnacentral:rRNA from 1 species